rfam:Triticum aestivum genome assembly, contig: Triticum_aestivum_CS42_TGACv1_scaffold_288446_4AL
AUGCUACUCCCUCCGUCUGAAAAUACUUAUCAUCAAAAUGAAUAAAAAGAGAUGUAUCUAAAACUAAAAUACAUCUAGAUACAUCUUCUUUUAUCCGUUUUGAUGACAAGUAUUUCCGGACGGACUGAGUAAUUU